rfam:Candidatus Harrisonbacteria bacterium RIFCSPLOWO2_02_FTLL_41_13b rifcsplowo2_02_scaffold_1920, whole genome shotgun sequence.
GGAGGCGUGGCCGAGCGGCUGAAGGCAGCAUCCUGCUAAGAUGUUAACCGGGAAACCGGUUCGAAGGUUCGAAUCCUUCCGCCUCCG